rnacentral:rRNA from 1 species
GAUGAACGCUAGCGGCAGGCCUAACACAUGCAAGUCGAGGGGUAGAACACUUCGGUGUUUGAGACCGGCGCACGGGUGCGUAACGCGUAUGCAAUCUGCCUUACACUAAGGGAUAGCCCAGAGAAAUUUGGAUUAAUACCUUAUAGUAUAUUGAUGUAGCAUUACAUUAUUAUUAAAGAUUUAUCGGUGUAAGAUGAGCAUGCGUCCCAUUAGCUAGUUGGUAUGGUAACGGCAUACCAAGGCUAUGAUGGGUAGGGGUCCUGAGAGGGAGAUCCCCCACACUGGUACUGAGACACGGACCAGACUCCUACGGGAGGCAGCAGUGAGGAAUAUUGGUCAAUGGGCGCAAGCCUGAACCAGCCAUGCCGCGUGCAGGAUGAAGCAUCUAUGGUGUGUAAACUGCUUUUGUACGGGAAGAAACACCUCUUCGUGAAGAGGCUUGACGGUACCGUAAGAAUAAGGAUCGGCUAACUCCGUGCCAGCAGCCGCGGUAACAC